CCCCCCUCACGCGCCCCGUUGCGCGCUGGUGUUGGGGCCCCCCUCCCGCCCGGCGGGAGGGGCCCCGAAAGCGAGUGGCGGGCCUGGUCUGGCCGGCUCUGAGCGCAGUACCGAACGCAAGUUCUCCCCUCGCCCACGAGCCCCGCCGGCGCCCUGCCGUCAAGACGCGCGCAUGACGUGCAACUUUCUCACAAGG
rnacentral:misc_RNA from 1 species